GAAAUAUUAACUUUUGUGAUUGAAAGCUUUUGUGGAAUAUCUUUGUUUCAAUUUAAAAAAAAAAAUCCCUCUGUACUCUCUUUCAAGAUGUAAGGUUUAGUUCAUUUGAAAACUUAGAGUUAUUUCCCUUGGACUGAGUUAUUUACCCCAAUGCAUGUUUAAUUUGUUUGACCUAAUAUAUGUGACAAGUUGACCACAAGGCAAAAAUUACUAUAUGUUAGCAUUCCUUGAUUAAUAAUUAGUAAUAAGACAUUAAUAGCUGGGAGGUUUGUAUGUUUGACAUGGAUUACUGAUACUAUAUGUUAUUAGUGUGAGAGUAAUACAGCUGUUAAUGGAGGUUAUUUAUAGAAAUUAAAACAUAUUAGGCCAAAUGCAAGAAUUUUAAAAAAUGAAGAAAAAAACAACAAAAGGGAAAAAAACAAAUUGAUUCUUUUUGAGAGAGAUUCGCAAGCUACCAAAUAUUGACAAUUGUUAAACAAUGUUUCCUAUAUAUUUAAAACUAUUAAUUCUGGAUUGGUGAGGAAGGCAAGUUUCCUUUUGUUUUAAGAGUUAUAAAGUUUGAGAAAAAAAAAUGCAAGUUACAUAUUAUGAAUACCAGCUCCAUUGUUUUAUUCAAAUAAAAGAUAAAGACUUAAUCUGUUGAAUAAAACAAUGUUUGCUUUAUGAAAACCUUCAG
rnacentral:lncRNA from 1 species